AUCCACAUCUGGCUUCUCCUGUUCCCUUAGUUGAUGUCAUCAUUGAAGAAAUUAACAAGAGCCAGAACAGGGCCUGAUGAUAACAGUUUUGUGCAAGUUUGCCAGCCUUCAUGUCCCUGCCUCUUCCUAGGUGGGCUGAAGGAAGUCUGCAGCCUCCUGGCUUGUCUCUUGUCCUACUAUUGGCUUAAGCCUGACGAAUUACAUCAUUUCCUGUUAAAAUUGCCUUGGCCUUCAAGAGGCCAUUCCUUUCUGGGAAGAAGUUUGUCGUGGUGGGCUUGAGCCUCAUCUCUUUCCCUUCAAAGCUAAGACCAAAGGAUCCGUCCACACCCUCAUCAGGGUCUGCUCAGUUUGCUCCUGAGCUCUGUUCUUAAGAAUUUGAGAAUACCAGGCUCCUGUCCUAAACAGCUGCUGCCCAUAGCCACACUGUGCCCAUGCCGCAUGAGGAUCUGGUUCCAACUCAAACAGUUCGGUGGAAGAGCAUGUGGGUUAAAGCCUGUCUGUAGAAAGGCUGUUAUUCAAGCAAGACCCUGCCCUGCAGCCAGAGAGAUGGAUCAGCCAGGGAAGAAGAUUGAACAAGGUUCUUCCAGAAGACCAACUUUGGUACCCACACUGGAUGGCUCACAACCACCGGUAAGUCCAGCUGUAGAGGGAUCUGCUCCAGCUCUAGAGGGAUCUGCUGUCUCUGGCCUCUCCAGGCACCUACACGCAUGUGCAAUCCCUCCCCCCACACAUAUACAUACAUAUAAUAAUAUAUAUAAGAAAAAAUGGUCUCAAAAAAGAAAACGAC
rnacentral:lncRNA from 1 species